UACGGAGGAUCCGAGCGUUAUCCGGAUUUAUUGGGUUUAAAGGGUGCGCAGGCGGGAGAUUAAGUCGGUGGUGAAAUUUUGCAGCUCAACUGUAACAGUGCCAUUGAUACUGGUUUCCUUGAGUGUGGAUGAAGUAGGCGGAAUUUGUGGUGUAGCGGUGAAAUGCAUAGAUAUCACGAAGAACUCCGAUCGCGUAGGCAGCUUACUAAACCAUAACUGACGCUCAUGCACGAAGGCGUGGGGAUCAAACAGGAUUAGA
rnacentral:rRNA from 1 species